rnacentral:rRNA from 1 species
CUAACGUCCGUCGUGAAGAGGGAAACAACCCAGACCGCCAGCUAAGGUCCCAAAGUCAUGGUUAAGUGGGAAACGAUGUGGGAAGGCCCAGACAGCCAGGAUGUUGGCUUAGAAGCAGCCAUCAUUUAAAGAAAGCGUAAUAGCUCACUGGUCGAGUCGGCCUGCGCGGAAGAUGUAACGGGGCUAAACCAUGCACCGAAGCUGCGGCAGCGACACUAUGUGUUGUUGGGUAGGGGAGCGUUCUGUAAGCCUGUGAAGGUGUGCUGUGAGGCAUGCUGGAGGUAUCAGAAGUGCGAAUGCUGACAUAAGUAACGAUAAAGCGGGUGAAAAGCCCGCUCGCCGGAAGACCAAGGGUUCCUGUCCAACGUUAAUCGGGGCAGGGUGAGUCGACCCCUAAGGCGAGGCCGAAAGGCGUAGUCGAUGGGAAACAGGUUAAUAUUCCUGUACUUGGUGUUACUGCGAAGGGGGGACGGAGAAGGCUAUGUUGGCCGGGCGACGGUUGUCCCGGUUUAAGCGUGUAGGCUGAUUUUCCAGGCAAAUCCGGAAAAUCAAGGCUGAGGCGUGAUGACGAGGCACUACGGUGCUGAAGCAACAAAUGCCCUGCUUCCAGGAAAAGCCUCUAAGCAUCAGGUAACAUCAAAUCGUACCCCAAACCGACACAGGUGGUCAGGUAGAGAAUACCAAGGCGCUUGAGAGAACUCGGGUGAAGGAACUAGGCAAAAUGGUGCCGUAACUUCGGGAGAAGGCACGCUGAUAUGUAGGUGAAGCGACUUGCUCGUGGAGCUGAAAUCAGUCGAAGAUACCAGCUGGCUGCAACUGUUUAUUAAAAACACAGCACUGUGCAAACACGAAAGUGGACGUAUACGGUGUGACGCCUGCCCGGUGCCGGAAGGUUAAUUGAUGGGGUUAGCGGUAACGCGAAGCUCUUGAUCGAAGCCCCGGUAAACGGCGGCCGUAACUAUAACGGUCCUAAGGUAGCGAAAUUCCUUGUCGGGUAAGUUCCGACCUGCACGAAUGGCGUAAUGAUGGCCAGGCUGUCUCCACCCGAGACUCAGUGAAAUUGAACUCGCUGUGAAGAUGCAGUGUACCCGCGGCAAGACGGAAAGACCCCGUGAACCUUUACUAUAGCUUGACACUGAACAUUGAGCCUUGAUGUGUAGGAUAGGUGGGAGGCUUUGAAGUGUGGACGCCAGUCUGCAUGGAGCCGACCUUGAAAUACCACCCUUUAAUGUUUGAUGUUCUAACGUUGGCCCGUUAUCCGGGUUGCGGACAGUGUCUGGUGGGUAGUUUGACUGGGGCGGUCUCCUCCUAAAGAGUAACGGAGGAGCACGAAGGUUGGCUAAUCCUGGUCGGACAUCAGGAGGUUAGUGCAAUGGCAUAAGCCAGCUUGACUGCGAGCGUGACGGCGCGAGCAGGUGCGAAAGCAGGUCAUAGUGAUCCGGUGGUUCUGAAUGGAAGGGCCAUCGCUCAACGGAUAAAAGGUACUCCGGGGAUAACAGGCUGAUACCGCCCAAGAGUUCAUAUCGACGGCGGUGUUUGGCACCUCGAUGUCGGCUCAUCACAUCCUGGGGCUGAAGUAGGUCCCAAGGGUAUGGCUGUUCGCCAUUUAAAGUGGUACGCGAGCUGGGUUUAGAACGUCGUGAGACAGUUCGGUCCCUAUCUGCCGUGGGCGCUGGAGAACUGAGGGGGGCUGCUCCUAGUACGAGAGGACCGGAGUGGACGCAUCACUGGUGUUCGGGUUGUCAUGCCAAUGGCACUGCCCGGUAGCUAAAUGCGGAAGAGAUAAGUGCUGAAAGCAUCUAAGCACGAAACUUGCCCCGAGAUGAGUUCUCCCUGACUCCUUGAGAGUCCUGAAGGAACGUUGAAGACGACGACGUUGAUAGGCCGGGUGUGUAAGCGCAGCGAUGCGUUGAGCUAACCGGUACUAAUGAACCGUGAGGCUUAACCUU